rnacentral:rRNA from 1 species
GAUCAUGGCUCAGGAUGAACGCUGGCCGCGUGCCUAAUACAUGCAAGUCGAGCGGGGUAGCUUGCUACCCAGCGGCGAACGGGUGAGUAACACGUAGGUAACCUGCCUUCGAGUCCGGAAUACCCAGGCGAAAGCUUGGCUAAUGCCGGAUAACAGCGGACCCCGCCUGGGGCCCGCGUGAAAGCCGCCCCAAAGCGGCGCUCCUAGAUGGACCUGCGGCGCAUUAGCUAGUUGGCGGGGCAACGG